CAAUAGCGUAUAUUAAAGUUGUUGCAGUUAAAAAGCUCGUAGUUGGAUUUCGGGGUGGCCUGGCUGGUCCGCCGCAAGGUGAGUACUGGUCAGCCGCCCUUCCUCUCGAAAGCCCCGACUACUCUUUACUGCAGUGGUCGGGUAGUUCGGGACGUUUACUUUGAAAAAAUUAGAGUGUUCAAGGCAGGCUAUCGCCUGAAUACAUUAGCAUGGAAUAAUGGAAGAGGACCUCGGUCCUAUUUUGUUGGUUUCUAGGGCCGAAGUAAUGAUUAAGAGGGACAGUUGGGGGCAUUCGUAUUUAAUUGUCAGAGGUGAAAUUCUUGGAUUUAUGAAAGACGAACUAGUGCGAAAGCAUUUGCCAAGGAUGUUUUCAUUAA
rnacentral:rRNA from 1 species